CGCCAUAUCUAAAAAUAAACAAAGACACUUGGUCAUCAUCAUCAUCAUCAUCGGCAUCUGUCGAGCACUUUGUUGCAUCAGAAUAGUAACUGUUGUUUCAGGGUGCAACCCACUGUACCUGGGCCUGAAGGCAAGCAUAGGUGAAGAAGAAAACCCGAUGUCUGUCCUCAAAGAGCUUAGAAUCCAAUGUGGGAAGGCCAAACAAGAAUCAGACACGAGCCUCGUCGCCUUCCCGAAUCACAUCAGGACAAAGGACUUACUUGUGAGUGUGUGUGUUGGCGAGGGAAGGAGGAGGAAGAGAGAACCUUGGUAAUUUCAUUUUUCAUCUCACUUGCCUCUGCCAAAUUUCCAAGAGAUUAAUAAUUAUUACUCACAAAAUGCUCAUUAGUUGAAGAUUGGAGAAAUAGAUACUGUACUUCAGUUAUUCUCUUUUAUUCUCUGUUGGCCAGACCCCCAAGGCCUAUAAGACAUCAAAGGGACGGAGGUGUGACUUAAGUGUAAAAGUGAAGGCCGAACCGGUAGUGUGCAGGUGCCAGAUCAGAAGACAGGCUGGGGGGAAGGGGGUGUCAAGGACUGUUUUGAAAAGAGGGAGAUUAAAGGGUUCAGGCAGUAAAAGAAGCGUUGCCCCUGACAAAUGAGACGAGACCAGCAGCCGACUAAGGACCGUUCCCAGACCCGGUGGUCGGAGAGGUCUUCCCUCUUCAGAACGGCACGAUCGGGGGCCGUUUGAUAUCGGGCCUUCUAAAUCUGCCCAAAAGUGUAAGUGGAUACCUGAUGCUCCUACUCCUGCCCCUGAAACAAAAGCCUUCUGCCACCAUCGUCGGCAAAAAUGCAACGGAGGGAAAAUCACGCUUCAAAGAGAUAUAGAGAGGCAGAGGAUCCAGGAAAACAAAGCGUCGGGCGACGCAGCUCCUCGGCUGAAAAACGACAGCCGGUCCGCUGCGGCAGACGGACCGGCCCGGGCCACCGCGAUCCAGAAAGGGGCAGCUCUUUUUGCGCAGGAGCUUCGCAAGGACCAAGAGACAAAGAGGAGCUGACAAUCAAAUGGACGAGACAAACAGAAAAAUUACAGAGUGAGCAUAAGAAGUUCAACUAUAACAAGAGGAAACUGCAGAUUACGUAAUUGAAACUAUAAAGGAGUUGUAAAUGUAUCACUCGGGGAUGGUGAAUUACUUAGGAUUUGCUUCCUGAAGACGGAGGAACCUCAGAAGGGCUUGAAGAUGGGGAGAACGUCGGUCUGGCUGAUUUGGCGGGAGGAACAGGGUGAACAAGAAGAGGCUGGAGAGUUGGGGAGUAAGGGGGGUAAAGAAUGCCAAUAUGAUAGUUGGGGAGAUUUGGUGGAAACAACGUAAGAACAACAACCACCACCACCCCCCGCCGUGAGUUUUGUGACUAGGGUCUUGAGGUCGAAGAGAUGGACGAGCAUGCCUAAGCCGCUUCGUACGCCGGAAACGAAUAUUAAAGGCUGCAACCAAUUAAUCUUCUCAGACAAGAAAUUGGAAUCGAAAGACACACGAACCUACCUGUCAGGUAGGCGUUAAACUGCUUCGGCCCACAGCGAACGGCAUAGCGCGUCGUCGUUCUUACGGCCUUUUGCUCGGAUUGGGAAGAAUCUCUGGGACGGAACCGGGUACCAUCUGACGUCUCCCCCCACCACCGCACGCGGAUGUCAGCACAAGUGGGUGGCUUCUUCACCAUCCAUAGGACUUCGCUAAUGGUGAGUUUCAGGAAAGAGUGCAGCUGCCCUUCCACAAGCGGGGGCAGGCUUGUGGAAGGCGAAACAUCACUCAGACCUGUCGAAAACGUAGACGAGACAAAAGAAUGAAUUUGAAGGAGGAAGAAAGAGAUGUGUAGCUAGUAAAGAACUGAAGAAUAUGUUUACUAGAGGCUCCACAAUCCCCACAAUGGGCAGGCUUAACCCACUCAAUGACUUUCAGUCCUGAACGAACGGUUUCUUUAGCUGUCCCGUGGAGCCGUCCCCCUUCGGACGGCUUAUUCCUCGCUUUCCCGGCAUCCUCUCAACGUAAUUACUGCAGAUUUAAGGGACUGUUUUCUUCAGUCAAUUCAUCAACGCUAGUUCUUGAAUGCUUUCAGUAAAGGAAUACAAUAGUAA